UCAAAAAAUAAAAGACCUAAACUUUUGUAUAAAAUAAACUUAAAAGAAACAAAACGAAUCCGUCCGACGGGGGACACAUCAAAGGAAAAACAAAAUUGUUAUUUUUAUUUAAUUCCGAGCAAUUUCAUAUUUAUUUACCUUUUAAACCUUCUCUGGACUUCCACAAAUAAUUCAAGACCAAAAUUCGCCAAAUCGGUCCAGCCGUUCUCGAGUUUUAGCGAGACUAACGAACAGCAAUUCAUUUAUAUAUAUAUAGAUUAAUAAAUAAUAAUAUUCAAGAAUGAUAUAAAACAAAACAUUGCAUUCAAUUCAGUUUCAGUUACAUAAAAAUUCUAUCAUUCGGUCAUUUAUAGAGUAACAAUGUGACGUAACGUUAUCCUUGACAAUUCGGUUUGUUCGAUCUGUUUCGGUCAAGACAAUAAUUUCUAAAAGGGCAAAUAAAAUGAAGCAACCGAACCAUGUUUUUGCAAUACUCUGUGCUAAUUUAUUGUAAAGUCCUAGUCACGAAAUCGAUCUUGUUCACGAUUAUUCGGAUAAUCUAAACGAUUACUUUAAUAGUAAGGCAAAUGCAGUAAACUAUCUACAAAUAUAAUUCGAUAAUAAUCCGAUUACCGCCGUCAAGCGUAUAUCUUAUUUAACUUGAAAUUUCUUAUGAUAACUUUCCCUUCAAACGGAAAUUAAUGCUAUAUUUUAAUGGGCAUCAUUAUGAUGUGUAAGUUCGUGCUUACAUUUUAAUUUGGAAGAUGAAAAUCUUGUGAAAUGUGAAUUGCAAAUGCGGAGAAAUUCCAGUGUACGAAGUCACGUGCGCAAUGUACUUCACUGCAUUGUGAUGAACGGACUUGCAAGUGGAACUUGUCGGGCUACUUACCUUUUUACUGGAAGAGAAAUUUCUUUGGACCUGUCGACGGACGCGAUCUCGUUGCUUUUGAUUCGACGAAAUGGUUAUCGAGUUAUUAUUGAAAGCCAUUUAGUGUUACCAGGAGCCAAGCGAUUGUGGCUUCGUUCAAAAGGUGUUCUUAAAAUGCUUCAAUGCUCUCAAAACAUUAAUGACGAAGGAAUAGCAUCGUGUAAUAAUAGUAACUAGUGGUCCCUUAGUGCUCGAAAUUAACUGAAAUUAUAAGUUUGAAUAUUACUAUGGUUCUAUGAUCACAGAUUUCGCCAAGACUACACUUUAAGCAAAUAAUAUUAAAAACUAUGUAACAAUAUUAAUCUAUUUUCAAUUUGACCACAGACUAUAAACAAUAACAAAAGUUUGACAAUAAACAAAGAGUCUUUAAAUAUGUAUGUGUUAUGUCAAAUACAUGCUAGUGGGUGUAACGUUUUUUUUGUUGAUUUAUUGUAUUUUAAAGCUUAAUUAAAAAAAAAUAACAAUCUGCACUCCUCCUUCUCUAUGUAUGGGAAAUUUCAUACUUCUCCGUCCGUGCAUUUUUCGUAAAAAGGGGUACAAAGUUUUUGCUUCAUGUAUUAAUAUAUAGUUUACUAAAAUAAUUGAGACAUAGGCCUCAAGUUCCAAGGUGGGUGGCAGCGUUGUGAUGUUAAUGGGCUCCACUUAACACCAGGCCCAAGUGUAGUUCGGCGUGGAUCCUGGCGACCGUCCAAACAUUUUAUAGCCGUUAGCUGACUAUGUUUACAAUCACCUAAAUACCUCCAAACACAAGCUUUUAUCUGAACCGAAAACAGUUCGAAACACCCGUCGCGCCUGUCGCCUCACCGGAUGCGGAAACUGUAACUAUAUAGUUACUACUACUAUCCUAUAGAAAAAGUUCUAUUAUGGUUAAUUUUUAAACGAUAUUUUGUUUCUGCUUGGAAAAAAUAUAUAGAAAAUUUUU